rnacentral:RNase_P_RNA from 1 species
CGCUGCGGCACGGCAAACCCCACCCGGAGCAAGGCCAAAUAGGGGCGCAUCGAUGUGGCCCGCAUCGCGCCCGGGUAGGCCGCUCGAGGCGCCUGGUGACAGGCGUCCCAGAUGAAUGAUCAUCCUCGACAGAACCCGGCUUACAGGCCGACUCCCCAU